rnacentral:rRNA from 1 species
AGAGUUUGAUCCUGGCUCAGGAUGAACGCUAGCGGCAGGCUUAACACAUGCAAGUCGAGGGGCAGCAUGUCCAGCAAUGGAUGAUGGCGACCGGCGGAAGGGUGCGUAACGCGUGAGCAACAUGCCCUAUACAGGGAGAUACACCAGGGAAACUUGGUCUAAUAUCCCAUAGCAUUCAUUGAAGGCAUCUUUAAUGAAUUAAAGCUUCGGUGGUAUAGGAUUGGCUCGCGUGACAUUAGCCAGAUGGUGAGGUAACGGCUCACCAUAGCAAUGAUGUCUAGGGGUUUUGAGAGGAAGGCCCCCCACACUGGGACUGAGACACGGCCCAGACUCCUACGGGAGGCAGCAGUGAGGAAUAUUGGACAAUGGCCGGAAGGCUGAACCAGCCAAGUAGCGUGCAGGAUGACUGCCUUAUGGGUUGUAAACUGCUUUUUUACGGGAAUAAUUAUGAUCACGUGUGAUUAUUUGCAUGUACCGUAAGAAUAAGGAUCGGCUAACUCCGUGCCAGCAGCCGCGGUAAUACGGAGGAUCCUAGUGUUAUCCGGAUUUAUUGGGUUUAAAGGGAGCGUAGGCGGGAGGUCAAGUCAGCUGUGAAAUGUAUCUGCUUAACGGGUACACUGCAGUUGAAACUGGUUUUCUUGAGUGCGUAAGAGGCAGGCGGAAUUCGUUGUGUAGCGGUGAAAUGCUUAGAUAUGACGAGGAACUCCUAUUGCGAAGGCAGCUUGCUGGGUCGUUACUGACGCUGAUGCUCGAAGGUGCGGGGAUCAAACAGGAUUAGAUACCCUGGUAGUCCGCACAGUAAACUAUGGAUACUCUCUGCCGGCGAUACAUUGUCGGUGGCCAAGCGAAAGCGUUAAGUAUCCCACCUGGGGAGUACGUUCGCAAGAAUGAAACUCAAAGGAAUUGACGGGGGCCCGCACAAGCGGAGGAACAUGUGGUUUAAUUCGAUGAUACGCGAGGAACCUUACCCGGGUUUGAAUUGCUGAUGGCGGUAUUUGGAGACAGAUACUUCCCUUCGGGGCGUCAGUGAAGGUGCUGCAUGGUUGUCGUCAGCUCGUGCCGUGAGGUGUCGGCUUAAGUGCCAUAACGAGCGCAACCCUUGUCAUUAGUUGCCAUCAGGUCAAGCUGGGGACUUUAAUGAGACUGCCACCGUAAGGUGUGAGGAAGGGGGGGAUGACGUCAAAUCAGCACGGCCCUUAUGUCCAGGGCUACACACGUGUUACAAUGGCCAAUACAAAGGGCAGCCACCCGGCGACGGGGUGCUAAUCCAUAAAGUUGGUCUUAGUUCGGAUCGGAGUCUGCAACUCGACUCCGUGAAGCUGGAUUCGCUAGUAAUCGUAGAUCAGCCAUGCUACGGUGAAUACGUUCCCGGGCCUUGUACACACCGCCCGUCAAG